AGAGCAGCACAUGAAGCAGAGACUCAGCUAAUGUGGAGCACUGCAAACCAAGGAGAACACCAUUGCAGUUCACACAGGGUAACAAGCGGCGUCCGUAUCUUCUGGGUACUUUGGCUGGUUGGGGAGUGAGCCCUUGACUUCCCAGCUGGGGCUGAAGUGUUCUUCUCCUCUGCUCCCAUCCCAGAUGCUCUCCUGAGUUUCUCGUGCUGCUCCCCAGCUCAUCCCCUCUCCUCCCUCUUGCCCGGUGAGGAUGUAGUUUAACUCACAAUGUUCUCUUGGCCAAACCCAGCCACGGCAACCCAGUCCCUUCUUAUCUGUUGUCACAGGGGAGGUGGCCCCUUCUGCCCCGCUGCUGGCCCUUUCCAUCCUCCUGGGGGGCUCCUUGGUGCUUGCAAGGGGCUGAUAUUCAAUCAGUAAUUGCAACAGCACCCCAGCGGGGCUCAGAAGGGCAGGAGGGCCAGGACAAAGUGAGCUGCAUCAGGAGCAUGUUCUGCGAGGUGCUGGUGCCUCUGUGUCCCCAAAAUAGCCCCCACUGCCGCUGCAGGGCUGAGGAAGAUGCAAGCAGGAGGCGAUUGCUCGUCAAGGGACGUGUCUACGAGGAUGUGAGGGAGACAGUGCAGUCAGAGGUUGCACAAGUCACUGCCCCAAACCAGGCUUGA
rnacentral:lncRNA from 1 species